rnacentral:misc_RNA from 1 species
GCAGAUCAUCAGCUGAUACCACAGUAACAGAAAGUACCCCUCGUACUAUUACCUCUCUUCUAUUGUUGAUUUCACUUCCGUUUGGACUAGCUUCUUUUCCUUCUGCUGAGUUUUUAAGAACUCUCUCUAAUGAAGUCAUUGACUCAUUUUGAGAAAAAGGGUUACUUAGCCCAUUGUUCAUGCCAUUCGGGCAGUACAAUAGCUCCAAGUGCACCUGGCCCCUAUUCUUUUGGUCUCUCUGGAUCUCCAAAUCUUUCACCAACUUCAGCCAAACAUCCUUCACUUUACCAGGCUCAAGCUCAUUCAAACGAACAUGUGCGCAUCCAAUUAGUUCAGCUGCUUGAAGCCCUUCAUCAUCAUAGAUCUUUAUCACCAAGUGUUGUGUCAAUGGAUCUUCAACUACAAACUCGAAAUGCUCAUUCCAGAUUGGAUUCAGUUCGUUGUUAAUUGUUUUGCUCUUCUUCAUUCUAUCUCGUACAGGGCGUACAUAUAACUCAGCAAAAGGAUCAGAUUUACCAAUGAUGUCCUUGUUUGUUAACUCUUUUGCUUGAACAAGUUUCACCUCCAAUACUCCAGUAGGUUUCAGUUCAAGGUCACUAUAAUCCCCAGGCAAAAUGGGAAUAAUUUUUCGGACUGGCCAUAUGAUAGAGUCUUCAAUGGCAUCGCGGAUGGUACCCUCAAUUGCAUCAGAAAUGCCAGGUAUUGCUGUCAUGUCACCACCAACCACUUUAAGCGUAAAAUCCAGCUUCUUCUUUUUCCUUAGUGAAUAACAAACAGCUCCAAAGCAGGGAAACUCAUCAACAAGCGGCCUGAAGAUCAGCCUGAAAAUCCCCGUAAAUCCAAUGUUCUUCACCUGCACUGGUAAUCCUACACCAAGGUAUGUCAUGAUAUCGAGUAUAAUGCUUGGGUUCCCAUCCCAAUUCAUCUCUAAUUCCAUGGUAAUACCUUCACUUCCACCUUCAAGAAUAGAAAUUCCUGUGAACUGAGGAGCAACAGUACCA